rnacentral:ribozyme from 1 species
ACUUGUAUCGGCAAGUAUAAAAAGACAUUAAGCCGAUAGCGUCCACUCUGUUUAAACGGGGUGGGGUUGUA